rnacentral:rRNA from 1 species
GACGAACGCUGGCGGCGUGCCUAAUACAUGCAAGUCGAGCGAAGUUUUUCUGGUGCUUGCACUAGAAAAACUUAGCGGCGAACGGGUGAGUAACACGUAAAGAACCUGCCUCAUAGACUGGGACAACUAUUGGAAACGAUAGCUAAUACCGGAUAACAGUAUUUCUCGCAUGAGAGAUAUUUAAAAGUUGGUUAUGCUAACACUAUGAGAUGGCUUUGCGGUGCAUUAGCUAGUUGGUGGGGUAAAGGCCCACCAAGGCGACGAUGCAUAGCCGACCUGAGAGGGUGAUCGGCCACACUGGGACUGAGACACGGCCCAGACUCCUACGGGAGGCAGCAGUAGGGAAUCUUCCGAAAUGGGCGAAAGCCUGCCGGAGCAACGCCGCGUGAGUGAAGAAGGAUUUCGGUUCGUAAAGCUCUGUUGUUAGGGAAGAAUGGAUAUGUAGUAACUAUACAUGUAAGAGACGGUACCUAACCAGAAAGCCACGGCUAACUACGUG